UACAGAGGGUGCAAGCGUUGUUCGGAAUUAUUGGGCGUAAAGGGCGCGUAGGCGGUUCGGCAAGUCUCUAGUGAAAUCUCAGGGCUCAACUCUGAGUCUGCUGGGGAAACUGCCGGGCUUGAGUGUGGGAGAGGAGAGUGGAAUUCCCGGUGUAGCGGUGAAAUGCGUAGAUAUCGGGAGGAGCACCUGUGGCGAAAGCGGCUCUCUGGACCACAACUGACGCUGAGGCGCGAAAGCUAGGGGAGCAAACAGG
rnacentral:rRNA from 1 species